GGGGAGGUCCUCAUUCUUUGUUUUUAAAAGUGGGUCACAGCUGAUCUCCUAAACCAAGAGAAAUCAUCCCCCCAAGUCCAAAUAUGCCGAAGACAGCUUUGGAAGCUGUGGGAAGUGAAGUCUGCUUAGAAUGGACACGCCCCACCCAGAACAGCAGCCCUGCGAGGGUAACGGGAACAAAGCUUGGACCCAGAAACGUUCUUUGAACACUCGAAGUGGUUGCCAGACCUCCACCCUUUGAAGCGAUGCAGGACAGUAAGAUGCCAAUGGCCAAGGAAUAUUCCUUGACCAUUGGACUAGGAAAACUGAGACAGAUGGCUGAACACAAUGGCCCAGCAAUUCACAGCUAAUACAGAUGGUCACCCCCCUGGAGACAAC